rnacentral:lncRNA from 1 species
UGAAUGUGUAUUCACUUUCUUCUAUCUCAUAGAUAUUAUUUAUUCUCUAUGAAAUACGUGUUAUGUGUGUGUGUGCCUCAUCUGUUAUGUGAAAUAUGUGUUGAUUAAAGCAUGCUAUACAAGUUUUUAAACUAUGUAUAAAAAUGUAUAUUUUUAUCUACUAAUAUGUUGGGUAGAACAUGGGUAGAUAGUUGGUGUGUAAUAAACAGAUGAGAGGCCUCGUUGUUGUUUGAUUGAGUCAUCUAGCGGAGUUUAGAUGACGACCACUGGCUAUUCUAGACAGUCUUGUGGAAACAUUAGCAGGUUCGCCACCUGUAGGUGUUAAUGAACUUGGGUGUUCAUUCGCUGUACUCCAUCCCCCUCAUGGUUGCCUUAUUUGACUUAUAUUGCUGAGGUACCCCCGAAGCAUGUGUUGUCGCCCCGAUGAAAUAUUCUUAGACUAGGUCCCUUAUGUUAGUUGUUUUAGGGACAUUAAAGUGAGAAUAACGGGAAUGGGUAAUUGGGUUAUUGUUGGUUGGUGAAAAUUAAAUAUGAUAUUUAUUGUGGGUUGAAAACCCUAUAUGCUCACCAGGCUCCCAAGCCUGACCCACUCAGUUUUAAAUUGUAUUACAGGUAGUGGCGGAAGGGCAUGAGAUGGAUGAACCAUCAAGUUGUUUUGUUUACAAGUCUGCAUAUGUUUAUAUUUGUUAUAUGACUUGUAAUGUAUUCGUUUAUGCUUAUUGGUCUGUAUCGGAACAUGACACCCCGAGUUUUGAUUAUAAUGAAAAUACAUUUCUUUUAUGAAAUGCUUCGGUAAACAAUGUUUUAUCAUGUUUUGUUUUUGGGAACAAAUUCCGCAACUCUUUCAAAUCAAAAGGAUUUACUCUGAAAAUAUUUAAAAGCAUAAAUGAAAAUCGGUCUUUUCUGGCCGAGAUUUUGGGGAUGUCACAGUUGGUAUCAGAGCAUUAGUUUAAGCGAACUAGGAAUUUGUAGGAUUUCUAGACUUAAACUUAGAAUGCUAAGUGAAGUUUUGAGAUGUGUGUCUGUUGUGUUUUAGACACGAGCACUAGUUUAUUUUAGGAAAGUUGCCUAAAAUGCUUUAUGUGCUAAAUGUUAUAUGUUGCCAUAUAUGAUAUUAUUUGUUCGGAUCUAUGGUCUGUUGCCGACCGGAUCUAGAAACCUUAUGUGUGUAGGAUUCUAAGCGUACGUCUACGAUAUUAGAACUAGCAUGUAAACGUUUCGGAGUGAUAAGGAUGAUUUGAAUAUCUAUCAUGAUUGAGGAUCUAAUUUCACCUUAUUCGGUGUAGAUCAAAAUGGUGAGAACAAGAAGUGGAGUUGGAAAUGCUGACGAAAACAGGAAUCAACCACCAGUGAUUGAGCCAAUACCUGUCGUAGCAGCAGCACCUGAGCCAAUAACCAUGGCUGGUGUGCAAUUGAUGAUUCAGACGAUGUUGGAUCGUCAGAUGGAUGAAACUAGACGGUUGCUUCAACAAAAUCGUGAAGAACUGUCGAUUCGUGUGGAAGAGCCUGAACUGAAUGAAGGGCACUCGGAAGGUGGAAACUUCAGUGGGUCUGUUGGUCCAGCCAACCCACCGAUAGUUAGGCAAGAUAACCAUGAUGGAAGGAAUGAUGGAAUGGGAUGCAAGUACAAGGACUUUUUGACUUGUAAACCAUCGACCUUCAAUGGAAAGGAGGAUCCGAUUGGGGUUAUGGAUUGGAUCUCCGAAAUGGAGUUAGCCUUUAUGACAUGUGGCUGUAGAGGCAAGUUGCAGACUAUCUAUGCCGUGCGACAAUUCCGAGGUGGAGCCGUUCGUUGGUGGAACACUCUAGGGAAGACCUUAAGCCCUAGCGAGCCACUGCAAUUGUCAUGGGCAGAGUUCUUGGUGCAGUUUAAGCGCAAGUUCUGCUCGGCUCAAAAUCUGUUGGAGUUGGAGAACAAGUUUCUGACAUUGACGAAGGGUAGCAUGUCAGUUGAUGAAUACACCAAUAACUUCACCGAUAAGAUGGAGUUUGCCUUGCGUAUCGUUCCAGACGAGCUGACAAAGGUGGAUCGGUAUGCGAAGGGACUUCCAUGGGAGUACGAGGUGCCGGUACGUCAGGCACUUACUCUAGAGGCAGCUAUCUGGGCUGCCAAGUCUGUGGAGAACAUGAUAAAGGGGAGAACCACCGACAAGGUUGAGGUUGGUGAGAAAAGGAAGUUUGAAGGAACAUCUGGUUCCAGUAAGAAGAGUAAAUUUUCGAAAUUUGAUUCGAAAAAGUUUGGAGGAAAAGGAGGCGAAGCGAAGUGGUGUGAUAAGUGUAGGAAAAAGCACUUUGGGAAAUGUAGCGAGGAUGUAACCUGCUACAAGUGUGGAAAGGUUGGACAUUUUGCCAAUGAAUGUCCGAACAACAAAAGGAUGUGUUUUGGGUGUAAUGAAGAGGGGCAUAUUUUGAAAGACUGUCCGAAGAAGAAGGAGGCAGCUAGGCCCAACAUUCCACCAAAGCCGAAGGCGAGAGCCUUCCAGAUGACACUUGAGGCUGCGAAAGAUGAAGCUGAUGUCGCUUCAGGUACCUUUCUCGUAAACGAAUUACCUGCUCAUAUAUUGUUUGAUUCUGGAGCCAACUACUCCUUUAUUUCGCAUGAGUUUGGUAGAAAGCUAGCUUUGCCUGUUGAUAGACUAAAUAAUGCUUUAUUAGUCGAAGUAGCUAGUGGCAAGUUUGUACCUGUUAGCCAUCGUAUGAAAAACGUCUUGAUCGACCUUAAUGGGAAUAAGUUUCUCGAGGAAUUAUUGCCUAUCGAACUAAAUGGUUUCGACAUCGUCUUGGGAAUGGAUUGGCUUAGCGCCAAUGAUGCCGAAAUUUUGUGCAAGAAGAAGAUAGUUAAAGUAAACCCGCCUGGGAAAGAUUCGUUUAUGGUGUAUGGGGACAAACGCAGAGUGAAUUCUGGAAUCAUUUCUCUAAUGAAAGCCAGAAAGUGUUUGACCAAGGGAUGUACAUCAUAUUUAGCAUUCGUGAUUGAUGCUAAGAAAGAAAAGAAGGUGAUGCAGAGUAUUCCAGUGGUGUGUGAUUAUCCGGAAGUAUUUCCCGAGGAUCUUCCUGGAUUACCACCUGAUAGACAAGUGGAGUUCAGAAUAGACUUGUUACCAGGAACCACGCCAAUAGCAAAAGCACCUUAUCGAUUAGCACCGACGGAGAUGAAGGAGCUAAUGAUGCAACUUCAGGAGUUAUUGGACAAAGGUUUCAUUAGACCUAGUUCAUCGCCCUGGGGAGCUCCGGUGUUAUUUGUAAAGAAGAAAGAUGGAAGUAUGAGAAUGUGCAUCGAUUACAGAGAGCUGAACAAGGCAACAAUAAAGAAUAGAUAUCCGUUGCCGAGGAUUGAUGACCUGUUUGAUCAAUUGCAAGGUUCGAGCUAUUUCUCGAAGAUCGAUCUUAGGUCAGGAUAUCAUCAGCUGAAAGUAAGAGAGCAAGAUAUCGAGAAGACUGCAUUCAGAACUAGAUAUGGACACUACGAGUUCUUGGUUAUGUCGUUUGGACUAACCAAUGCUCCAGCAGCGUUCAUGGAUUUGAUGAAUAGGGUUUGUAAUCCUUUCCUUGAUAAAUCCGUGAUAGUGUUCAUAGACGACAUUCUGAUUUACUCGAAAAGCCAGGAGGAGCAUGGCAGACACUUGCGAGAAGUGUUAGAAGUUUUGAAGAAGGAGAAGCUGUAUGCAAAGUUCUCCAAAUGUGAUUUUUGGAUUCGUGAAGUCCAAUUCUUGGGUCACGUGGUCAACCAAGAAGGGAUAAUGGUUGAUCCAGCGAAGAUCGAAGCUGUGACGAAGUGGGAACAACCGAAAAGUCCCACGGAGAUUCGAAGCUUUUUAGGAUUAGCCGGAUAUUACCGAAGGUUUAUCCAAGGCUUUUCUUCGAUUGCUACUCCAUUAACAGCUUUGACCCACAAAGGAGCUACUUAUGCUUGGAGUGAGAAGCAUAAAGAAGCAUUCGAGAAGUUAAAGAAGAAGCUAUGCGAGGCACCGAUACUUUCUCUACCCGAUGGAGUUGAAGACUUCGCUGUUUAUAGCGAUGCGUCUGGUGUUGGAUUGGGUUGUGUUUUGACCCAAAGAGAAAAGGUGAUAGCAUAUGCGUCUCGACAGCUGAAAGAGCAUGAAAAGAAUUACCCGACUCAUGAUUUGGAGUUGGCAGCGGUAGUUUUCGCUCUGAAAAUAUGGAGGCAUUACCUCUAUGGCACGAAGUGCAAACUUUUCACUGAUCAUAAGAGUCUCCAAUACCUCUUUAAUCAGAAAGAAUUGAAUAUGAGGCAACGACGCUGGCUAGAAUUACUUAAAGACUACGACUGUGAGAUACUUUACCACCCCGGUAAAGCUAAUGUUGUUGCUGAUGCUCUCAGUCGGAAAGUCAAUCUUGAAAGGAAAAGGCCAAGAGCGUUGAGAAUUGAAGUUGUCUCGACCAUUGUGGAAAGUAUAAAGAAAGCUCAAGAGGAAGCUUCUGAGAAAAAUGACCGAAAGGAGGAACGUUUGGGUAAAACGUUGGUGUUUGGUACUAACGGUCAUGGACUGAAGGUAUUCCAAGAUCGUAUUUGGGUAUCUAAGUCAGGAGGAAUCAGAGAUCUUCUGAUGGAAGAAGCUCACAAGACCAUGUACUCGAUUCAUCCCGGUACCAAUUAAAUGUAUAGGGACCUGAAACCCUACUACUGAUGGCCAACGAUGAAGCUUGAUGUUGCAAAGUAUGUGGCUGAAUGUGUGACUUGUGCGAGAGUAAAGACACAACAUCAGAAACCAUAUGGGAGUUUAGAGCCUUUACCUGUGCCUAUGGGUAAAUGGGAAGACAUUGCUAUGGAUUUUGUCACUAAACUGCCCCGAACAAAGAAUGGUCACGACAUGAUUUGGGUGGUCGUUGAUCGAUUCACUAAGAGUGCGCAUUUCAUAGCAGCCAAGGAGAAAUGGUCUAUGGAUAAGCUUGCAAAUUCUUACGUAAAGGAGAUUGUGAGGCUUCACGGUGUUCCGUUAACGAUUGUAUCGGAUCGUGAUAGCCGUUUCACCUCAAGGUUUUGGAAAAGUCUACAAGAGGAAAUGGGUACCAAGUUAUGUUUAAGCACAGCUUACCAUCCGCAGACUGAUGGUCAGAGUGAAAGAACAAUACAAACACUUGAAGAUAUGCUGAGAGCAUGUACCUUGGAAUUCCUAGGUAAUUGGGAUGAACAUUUACCGUUGGUAGAAUUUUCCUAUAAUAAUAGUUUUCACUCGAGCAUUAAGAUGGCACCUUAUCAAGCUUUGUAUGGACAGAAGUGUCGUACGCCGUCUUGUUGGCUUGAGGCUGGGGAAAAGCAGUUUAUGGGACCGGAGAUGGUUCAUCAAACUGCUGAAAAGUUGAAAAUAAUUAGGGAAAGAAUGUUAGCAGCUCAAGAUCGUCAAAAGAGCUAUGCUGACAAGAAGCGAAGACCGAUGACUUUUGAGGUUGGAGAUUCGGUUUUGCUUAAAGUCUCGCCGUGGAAGGGACUUAUAAGAUUUGGUAAAAGGGGAAAGUUGAGUCCAAGGUUUAUUGGACCGUUUAAAGUUCUUCAGAGGAUUGGGAACCAAGCUUACAAGCUCGAAUUACCCGAAGAACUGAAUGGAAUUCACAACACUUUUCAUGUGUGUUAUUUGAGGAAGUUCACGGGAGAAGUUCCCGAUAUAAUUCCAAUUUCUGAAUUGAGAAUUGAUGAGAACAAAAGGUUGAUUGAAGAACCAGAGGCAAUUGUUGACCGAAAGACUAAGAAGUUGCGACGCAAAAUGGUUGGGUUAGUGCUUGUCCGAUGGAAACACACGAAUGGGCCGAAUCUCACCUGGGAGACGGAGAGUGACAUGUUGAGUCGCUAUCCGCAUUUGUUUGUUGAUGUGUGAUUCCGGGGACGGAAUCAUUCUAAGGUGGAGAGAAUUGUAACGCCUGUGUUUCCGGGCUUGCCAUUUUUAGCAAUGUAAUAGUCUAGGUUAACCUUUGUAACCCGUUUUGAAAUAAUAAGAUUGUAUUAUUUGAGUAUUAUGUGUUUUGUGCUUAAUUGCUUAAUUAUGUGGUUUGAUUAAUUAAGAAUAAAAAUAAGCGUCAAAAUUUAAGUGUAAAAUAAACUUGAUAUCUUUGGAUAAUGUUGUAGUAGUUGAAACGAGGUUUCCGAAUAUAUAUAGAACGCCCAAAUCUGACUUCGUAUGAGGAAGUUAUGAUUUAUCGAAGUUUCGGCUUAGCGGUAUGCAGCCUGAAAUACUCGAUUUGAGAUCGAGCGGUUUUUAGCCGAAGCAAUCUAAACGAGGAUCGAAGGUCUCGUUGUUGGUAUCGAAGCGAUGAAAAGUUAGGCGAGAACGGACGUCAAACGAAGAAGUUAUGAAUUUAUAACGAAGUUUUUCUGUCGCGGCCUAUUAAAAAUAAAUAAUAAAAAUAAAGUUAAAAUUAGCCGACGGAGUCUAAACGAAAGUUGUAGAGCGUAGUCUCACCUUCGCGUGGAUAUAAAGAACGUCGAAAACGGAGUUCGUAUGAAGAAGAUAUGAAUUUCCGAAGUUUAUUAAAUAAUUUGUAUUAAAAUUUAAUCUUUAAUUCGGAUGAUUAUCCGAAGGAGUCACCGAUCUGAUCCGAAGUACGCCCCGCGUACACCGAGGUAUGUCGACACUCGCAAUCGAGCACUUCGGAUACGUAAGCCAUAACGUUUCGGAGCAGUACGUCCCGCGUACUCCGAUGCUCCAGCCUCCUAUAAAUAGGAUGCGAGGGCAGCCGACUCAAUUGCUAUUUUUCUCUCUUCUCUCUCCCGUUUUGCCUCGAUUUUCGUGCCAGAAGUACCCCGAAGCCCGGUAUUAUUCUUGAGCCCCGAAGCAAGUCCCGAGAUCCCGAAGAUCCCGAGAAGUGCGGUUCCCGAGCCGAAGCUCUGCCCGCGAGAUGUUCGAUUUUUGUAGAGAUCUUCUAGAUCUGCAGAAGAUUACUACUUUUGCAAGCCGUAGUGCUGUCCGAUCAUCUUCUGAUCAAGUGAGUGUAUACUACCUUUCAUAAACACGAUAAUAAUACAAGUAUGGUUUGAGUGUAUUAAGUAUAUUGUUGUUUAUAUGUGUGAAUGUGUAUUCACUUUCUUCUAACUCAUAGAUAUGAUUUAUUCUCUAUGAGAUACGUGUUAUGUGUGUGUGUGCCUCAUCUGUUAUGUGAAAUAUGUAUUGAUUAAAGCAUGCUAUACAGGUUUUUAAACUAUGUAUAAAAAUGUAUAUUUUUAUCUACUAAUAUGUUGGGUAGAACAUGGGUAGAUAGUUGGUGUGUAAUAAACAGAUGAGAGGCCUCGUUGUUGUUUGAUUAGUCAUCUAGCGGAGUUUAGAUGACGACCACGGACUUUUCUAGACAGUCUUGUGGAACAUUAGCAGGUUCGCCACCUGUAGGUGUUAAUGAACUUGGGUGUUCAUUCGCUGUACUCCAUCCCCCUCAUGGUUGCCUUAUUUGACUUAUAUUGUUGAGGUACCCCCGAAGCAUGUGUUGUCGUCCCGAUGAAAUAUUCUUAGAUUAGGUCCCUUAUGUUAGUUGUCUUAGGGACAUAAAGUGAGAAUAACGAGAAUAGGUAAUUGGGUUAUUGUUGGUUGGUGAAAAUUAAAUAUGAUUAUUUAUUGUGGGUUGAAAACCCUAUAUGCUCACCAGGCUCCCAAGCCUGACCCACUCAGUUUUAUUUGUAUUACAGGAAGUGGCGCGAGGACAUAAGAUGGAUGAACCAUCAAGUUGUUUUGUUUACAAGUCUGUAUAUGUAUAUAUUUGUU